rfam:Aedes aegypti strain Liverpool supercont1.445 genomic scaffold, whole genome shotgun sequence.
UGCCCAGCAACUCCUAUCCCUACCUCCUCGCGGUACUGGCCGGGGUACGAGUAACCUUAGAGAAGAUCGGGUAACCAACCCCCGGUGGGAACUUUGGUCGUAUGCUGACAGGGAAGG